CCUACGGGAGGCAGCAGGGAAUCUUGUCCAAUGGGCGAAAGCCUGAGACAGCGACGCCGCGUGAGGGAUGAAGGCCUUCGGGUUGUAAACCUCUUUCAGGAGGGACGAAAUUGACGGUACCUCCAGAAGAAGCCCCGGCCAACUACGUGCCAGCAGCCGCGGUAAUACGUAGGGGGCAAGCGUUGUCCGGAUUUAUUGGGCGUAAAGGGCUCGUAGGCGGUUCAACAAGUCGAUCGUGAAAGCCCGGGGCUCAACCCCGGGACGCCGGUCGAAACUGUUGUGACUAGGGUCCGGUAGAGGUGAGUGGAAUUCUCGGUGUAGCGGUGGAAUGCGCAGAUAUCGAGAGGAACACCGGUAGCGAGGGCGGCUCACUGGGCCGGUACCGACGCUGAGGAGCGAAAGCAUGGGGAGCAAACAGGAUUAGAUACCCUGGUAGUCCAUGCCGUAAACGAUGAACACUAGGUGUGGCGGACUCAUUGACGUCUGCCGUGCCGAAGCUAACGCAUUAAGUGUUCCGCCUGGGGAGUACGGCCGCAAGGUAAAACUCAAAGGAAUUGACGG
rnacentral:rRNA from 1 species